GAGUUUGAAUCAUGGCUCAGGACGAACGCUGGCGGCGUGCCUAAUACAUGCAAGUCGAACGCGUCUUGGUUAAAGAUUUUAGGUGCUUGCAUUUAAAUGAUUUAACAUUGAGACGAGUGGCGAACUGGUGAGUAACACGUGGGUAACCUGCCCUUGAAGUAGGGGAUAACACUUGGAAACAGGUGCUAAUACCGUAUAACAACUCAAACCACAUGGUUUGAGUUUGAAAGAUGGCUUCGGCUGUCACUUUAGGAUGGACCCGCGGCGUAUUAGCUUGUUGGUGAGGUAACGGCUCACCAAGGCAAUGAUACGUAGCCGACCUGAGAGGGUAAUCGGCCACAUUGGGACUGAGACACGGCCCAAACUCCUACGGGAGGCAGCAGUAGGGAAUCUUCCACAAUGGACGAAAGUCUGAUGGAGCAACGCCGCGUGAGUGAUGAAGGGUUUCGGCUCGUAAAACUCUGUUGUUGGAGAAGAACAGGUGUGAGAGUAACUGUUCACAUCUUGACGGUAUCCAACCAGAAAGCCACGGCUAACUACGUGCCAGCAGCCGCGGUAAUACGUAGGUGGCAAGCGUUGUCCGGAUUUAUUGGGCGUAAAGCGAGCGCAGGCGGUUUUUUAGGUCUGAUGUGAAAGCCUUCGGCUUAACCGGAGAAGUGCAUCGGAAACCGGGAGACUUGAGUGCAGAAGAGGACAGUGGAACUCCAUGUGUAGCGG
rnacentral:rRNA from 1 species